UCCUCUGCGAAGGGGAAUCUGAAAGGUCUGCAGGCAAAGUCCAGCCCGGAACAACAUGUGAACCAGAGGUGGCGGCGAUGCUGGGUGACCCGCCCGAAAAACGGGGAAGCCUAUACGAAAGUAUACUCUAUAGGAAAACAAGGAAAAGGGAAAUGACCUAUAGGACACAUCGACGUGAUUAGGGUCAGGAUGGAUGGAAGAGAGUGUG
rfam:Oceanobacillus picturae, S1, WGS project CCAX01000000 data, contig: 000001